rnacentral:lncRNA from 1 species
CUGGAAGUACUACAGGCAUAGAGGGAAGAGUACCUGUGUCUGUAACAACGUAAAAGGUCACAAGCUUCUGCUUUGCCAGUCUAGGUUCUGGAGGCCAGGAAGUCCAACAUGAAGGUGACAGCAGAUCCAGUGUCUGGAAAAACAAAUGCAAACAAAUCAAGAUUUCAGUUACCUCUGAAAAGGCGGCAGAAAAAUGAGAAGAUUCUGUGAGGUAAAGGAGAGAAACAUA